rnacentral:rRNA from 1 species
UACGUAGGUCUCAAGCGUUAUCCGGAUUUACUGGGCGUAAAGGGUCCGUAGUCGGAAUUGUAAGUCUGUUUUCAAAUACCACGACUCAAUCGUGGAGAGGGAAUGGAUACUGCAAUACUAGAAGUAUCUGGGGGUUAGUGGAAUUUCCGGUGGAGCGGUGAAAUGCGUUGAUAUCGGAAGGAACGCCGAAAGCGAAAGCAGCUAACUACAGAAUACUUGACGAUCAAGGACGACAGUUUGGGGAGCGAACGGG